AGGAUAGUUUAAGGCAAAAAAUAUUAAUUUUGGAUAUUAAAGAUAUUCUUUUCUUUCGA
rnacentral:tRNA from 1 species